AACGCUGGCGCGUGCCUAAAUCAUGCAAGUCGAGCGGAAUGAUGAAGAAGCUUGCUUCUCUUGAUUUGCGGCGGACGGGUGAGUACACGUGGGCACUACCUGUAGAUUGGGAUAACUCGGAAACCGGGGCUAAUACCGAAUAAUCCAUUUUGCUUCAUGGCGAGAUGUUGAAAGACGGUUUCGGCUGUCACUACAAGAUGGGCCCGCGGCGCAUUAGCUAGUUGGUAGGGUAAUGGCCUACCAAGGCGACGAUGCGUAGCCGACCUGAGAGGGUGAUCGGCCACACUGGGACUGAGACACGGCCCAGACUCCUACGGGAGGCAGCAGUAGGGAAUCUUCCACAAUGGACGAAAGUCUGAUGGAGCAACGCCGCGUGAGUGAAGAAGGUUUUCGGAUCGUAAAACUCUGUUGUAAGGGAAGAACACGUACGAGAGUAACUGCUCGUACCUUGACGGUACCUUAUUAGAAAGCCACGGCUAACUACGUG
rnacentral:rRNA from 1 species